AUAAAGUUUAAGAAAGGACAGGCUUUGAUAUUUGAAUUAAUAUUGAAGUAACAGUGUUCGUGAAGUUAUCAACAUUUUGUUUUUCAAUCAUUACUAAUAUACCAUAAUGAGGAGCUUCAUCAUCAUUACAGGACUGUUAGCACUCGCAGUCUGCUGUAAUGCUUCUGCUCUUACGAGACAAGAAGAUCCAUCCGAGGUUUACGUCACAACUACAGAGUAUGAAAAUGGAACGAUUGUAGAUGGUGCAGACUUUGCAUUUUCAAACGUGGGAUCUUUAUUAUCUGAGUGGCAUUGUGAAGCCCCGUCUAUUGUUGGACAGUCGCAGACGAUUACCUUAAAGUAUUUAGGUGAUUCUAGUGAAAGAAUAACAAGACGAGUUACAUCUAUUUACGGAGACCCUCAAUUAAUUCAGACUCCAUUGGGGAGUAAUGUCUAUGAAAUGACGCUUACUUCUCGUCCUGGUGUAAGGAUAGCUGCGAGUUUUUACAUAUACGGUUAAGGUCUUAAAGUUUGUUCGUAAACUUUACUGUACCCGAAUUCCAACUCUGCAUGGAUAUUGUUAUCCGAAAACAACACUAAAUUAUACAAACAAAUGAUAUU